CUACGCCGAAAGAGAAAACACUACGCCAUCAACGUCUACCGGAAGGGGAGUGGUCUGUGUCACAUGGCUCUCGCCGAUUGGACGGGCCUUUCCUGGUGAGGCUGUGUUUACGCCGGUGGAACUAGUGCUCUCUGUAAAACCCGGCUUUUCAGCACAAACUGUCGGUGGUCUUUCCACUGUCGAUAAAAGCCCAGGGGCCGUAAUGCAGACUCAGAGCUAUAUCUGUUGUAUGACCGGCCUCCUCCAAAGAAGAGGCGUAAGAUGCGACCCCGGUUGAAAUGGCUAAUGUUAUUAACAGCACUGCUCACAGGAGCAGCGGCAGCCCCCAGCGUUCAAGUGACUGGAGAGUGGAGACAUGGAUGGUGGACUUCUGGACAGACCAGACCUGCUGGUGCUGCACAUCCCCUUUGAUCAACAUGUGUGUUCGCUCUGGACUCAGUGGGAGGAGCCUGAACAACACAUGACAGGAUGACCCAGUGUGAUCAGACCUGCUACUCCAAGCUUCAAAACAUUUCAGAUGCUUUGCUUUACACUGGCAUCCACACCCUGGACUCUGCUUGUCUACCCCAGAAAUUCUGUUUAUGGCCUUCAAAACUUACAUUUGCAUAGUCCGUGGGCCCUAUCGUUUAGACUAAGAUGCUACUGAAUAGUAAAUGACCGCUAAUUGCACCUUUCAUGAGUGGUAUCAGGUCCUGAAUGCAAUGUGUUCUAGGGGAAUGGUUGUUGCGUUGUCCAGGGACAGGUGAUAAUGUCAAAUCUACCAAGCAGUCUGGCGCUGUGGAGACGUCACAGCCACCGGGCGCACAGACCGAAGUGACUUGAUCCAGCUGUAUACUAAAAUUUCACAACAAAGAAAGUUGAAAACGUUUGUAAAUAAAAACACGAAGACAAUAUGGACAA